AGCCCUCUGUAUCCAUGCUAAGAUUUCACCAGCAAUCAACCCGUUCGGUCUGAUGUAACUUCUCAAAUAAGUGAAGCG
rnacentral:pre_miRNA from 1 species